rnacentral:rRNA from 1 species
CAGCACAGUCGUAGCAAUACGAUGGGUGGCGAGUGGCGGACGGGUGAGUAAUGCAUCGGGACCUACCCAGACGUGGGGGAUAACGUAGGGAAACUUACGCUAAUACCGCAUACGUCCUACGGGAGAAAGCGGGGGACCUUCGGGCCUCGCGCGGUUGGACGGACCGAUGUGCGAUUAGCUAGUUGGUAGGGUAAUGGCCUACCAAGGCGACGAUCGCUAGCUGGUCUGAGAGGAUGAUCAGCCACACUGGAACUGAGACACGGUCCAGACUCCUACGGGAGGCAGCAGUGGGGAAUAUUGGACAAUGGGCGCAAGCCUGAUCCAGCAAUGCCGCGUGUGUGAAGAAGGCCUUCGGGUUGUAAAGCACUUUUAUCAGGAGCGAAAUACUACCGGUUAAUAACCGGUGGGGCUGACGGUACCUGAGGAAUAAGCACCGGCUAACUUCGUGCC